rnacentral:rRNA from 1 species
AGGACUAACGCUGGCGGCGUGCCUAACACAUGCAAGUCGAGCGGGGUAGCAAUACCCAGCGGCAGACGGGUGAGUAACGCGUGGUCAACCUUCCGUUGAAUGGGGGAUAACUAGCCGAAAGGUUAGCUAAUACCGCAUACGAUCUUUUGAAGGCAUCUUUAAAAGAUGAAAGGAGCAAUUCGUUCAACGACGGGACCGCGUCCCAUUAGCUAGAUGGUGGGGUAAUGGCCUACCAUGGCAACGAUGGGUAGCUGGUUUGAGAGAGCGACCAGCCACACUGGGACUGAGAAACGGCCCAGACUCCUACGGGAGGCAGCAGUGAGGAAUUUUCCGCAAUGGGCGAAAGCCUGACGGAGCGACGCCGCGUGUGGGAAGAAGGCCUUCGGGUCGUAAACCACUGUCGAAGGGGACGAUAAUGACGGUACCCUUGGAGGAGCCCGGCUAACUACGUGCCAGCAGCCGC